AUUCUGGAAAUGAUCUUGGCUCU
rnacentral:miRNA from 1 species